AGUAGCUAAUUGAUAUCUACCCAGCUAGUAAUUUGACUUCAUAUUUUCAAAUGUGGAACGAAGUUAAAUAAAAAUACGAUGGCUUUAUGUGAAAUUAAGGGGAAAGAUAAAAAUUGGGAGCAAGAAAGAAAAGGAUUAUGUUUGCCACAGGUCAGUAAUAUGAAGCAAGUGUUUGUCCAAAUCACAGCAUGCCCGACAGAAGCUUUUUAAAUCAAAGGGUCAAGCUUAAAAUUAUUCUAUUUACUCCCCAUGUUGGGCAUGCAUGCAGUUUAAUACAUAUCCAUCUUUCAAAAACUGAAAGACAACAAGUGGCAGGAAAAAUUUAACUGACCUAAAAUUCAACUUUUUUAAUAUAUGACAAACUUACAAUGAUUAAUUAUUAAAAUGUAGAUAGGGUGCCAUACACAAUCAUUUUGAUGGAACAUAUUUGUCUGCAUUGAACCAAUUUAAAUUUUUCCUUUUCAAAUAAAUGUAACUUAUAAACAGUAA